CUUCAACGACCCCAUCCGCAGCGGACGUUCCGGUGGGCGCUCGCCGCCGUACACGGCCAGGACCGCCUGUGCCUC
rnacentral:antisense_RNA from 1 species